CGAGGGAGCCACGCAACGGAGGCUCCGCAGUCCAGGCCCCGCAGCACACUCACACACAGGCAGGUGGAGAAAAGAUGACUCGCUGCGGUGUAAGACGGAAAAGGAAAAAGUGCAGAAGAGUAUUAGCGCCUCGACGCCCCUUUACCAAGUGACAAAAGUGUCCUUCCGAGCCUUUUUGUAAUAUCAGGAAAGGGAUGUCAGCUUGUGACUCUGCAAGAGUGUGCCAACUCGCCGUGGCCCAGUCCAUCCCGGGUCAAUUCACUCAACACUGUGCUAUCUCACGCACACUCCAUGACGGACGCGGGGAACAAACAGAGUAGGACACGAUGAAUCCGUCCUGGCGGCGCUUUACUGGACUGUCACGACCGGGGAAGAUGCCUGAGGGAGGAGCGAACACCACCACCGGCUUGAAGGGAAUAUUCAUGCAUGCAAAUACGUCUGAAGUCGCCCCCCUCCUUCUCCCGCCCGCCGUGUGACCCCACCUCAUUCUCUCCGUCAUUGCUAAUCUCAGAAACGUGUCGAUCUCUCAGCCGCCAGCGUUAUGAAUUGAGGUGUCUAGGUGAUGGCGCGCGGCGACCCGAGAGAGACGCACUGAAUUGAGAUGGAAGGGAGAUGGAAUGCCGCGGAGGAGAUGGCGGCGUGCUGCACCGCGCCACGGGGAUUAAUAAACUUGAAUGAGGUCAAAUUUAGCAGCAGUGAGUUGAGAGAGAGAGAGAGAGAGAGAGAGAGAGAGAGAGAGAGAGAGAGAGAGAGAGAGAGAGAGAGAGGAUUAUUACAAGUGCUUGCAUUUGUCUGCACGACGAACUGAGAGAAGAAAGGCUAUGUUCGUACUCUGUCUGUCUGCCCUCUCUCUCUCUCUCUCUC